rnacentral:rRNA from 1 species
AGAGUUUGAUUCUGGCUACAGAACGAACGCUGGCGGCGCGUUUAAGCAUGCAAGUCGAGCGGCAAGGGCCUUCGGGCCCCUAGAGCGGCGGACGGGUGAGUAACACGUGGACAAUCUGCCCCCCGGCCCGGGAUAGCCCAGGGGAAACCUGGAUUAAUACCGGAUGAGACGGGACCCGCGAUGGCGGGACCCGGGAAAGGCGCUGCGGCGCCGCCGGGGGAUGAGUCUGCGUCCCAUUAGCUAGACGGCGGGGUAACGGCCCACCGUGGCGACGAUGGGUAGCCGGCCUGAGAGGGUGGACGGCCACAUUGGAACUGAGACACGGUCCAGACUCCUACGGGAGGCAGCAGCUAAGAAUCUUCCGCAAUGGGCGAAAGCCUGACGGAGCCGACGCCGCGUGAACGAAGAAGGCCGUGAGGUUGUAAAGUUCUUUUCGGGAGGGGGAACAACCGUGGCAGGGAAUGGCCGCGGGAUGACGUGAAUCCCGGAAUAAGCCCCGGCUAACUACGUGCCAGCCGCUGC